rnacentral:rRNA from 1 species
AGUGAACGCUGGCGGUAGGCCUAACACAUGCAAGUCGAACGGCAGCACACUAAGAGCUUGCUCUUACGGGUGGCGAGUGGCGGACGGGUGAGGAAUACAUCGGAAUCUACUUUUUCGUGGGGGAUAACGUAGGGAAACUUACGCUAAUACCGCAUACGACCUACGGGUGAAAGCAGGGGAUCUUCGGACCUUGCGCGAAUGAAUGAGCCGAUGUCGGAUUAGCUAGUUGGCGGGGUAAAGGCCCACCAAGGCGACGAUCCGUAGCUGGUCUGAGAGGGUGAUGCGCGACACUGGAACUGAGACACGGUCCAGACUCCGACGGGAGGCAGCGGUGGGGAAUAUUGGACGAUGGGCGCAAGCCUGAUCCAGCCAUACCGCGUGGGUGAAGAAGGCCUUCGUGUUGUAAAGCCCUUUUGUUGGGAAAGAAAAGCAGCAGGUUAAUACCCCGCUGUUCUGACGGUACCCAAAGAAUAAGCACCGGCUAACUUCGUG